rnacentral:misc_RNA from 1 species
AUAUCACUGAUCCGAUUGCAUCCACAUGCAGUCAGUCGACAUGGGCCUUCAGCACUGAUCGCCUCGAAUUAGUCGCGAUCGUCGUGGUAGACAAGGGGUGUGGCAGCGAUGCCAUCCAGUGUUGUCGACGAUCAAACCGUGC